rnacentral:rRNA from 1 species
GAGUUUGCUCCUGGCUCGGGUGGUUUAAGAGCUUGCUCUUAUGAAUUUAGCGGCGGACGGGUGAGUAACACGUGGGUAACCUGCCCAUAAGACUGGGAUAACUCCGGGAAACCGGGGCUAAUACCGGAUAACAUUUUGCACCGCAUGGUGCGAAAUUGAAAGGCGGCUUCGGCUGUCACUUAUGGAUGGACCCGCGUCGCAUUAGCUAGUUGGUGAGGUAACGGCUCACCAAGGCAACGAUGCGUAGCCGACCUGAGAGGGUGAUCGGCCACACUGGGACUGAGACACGGCCCAGACUCCUACGGGAGGCAGCAGUAGGGAAUCUUCCGCAAUGGACGAAAGUCUGACGGAGCAACGCCGCGUGAGUGAUGAAGGCUUUCGGGUCGUAAAACUCUGUUGUUAGGGAAGAACAAGUGCUAGUUGAAUAAGCUGGCACCUUGACGGUACCUAACCAGAAAGCCACGGCUAACUACGUGCCAGCAGCCGCGGUAAUACGUAGGUGGCAAGCGUUAUCCGGAAUUAUUGGGCGUAAAGCGCGCGCAGGUGGUUUCUUAAGUCUGAUGUGAAAGCCCACGGCUCAACCGUGGAGGGUCAUUGGAAACUGGGAGACUUGAGUGCAGAAGAGGAAAGUGGAAUUCCAUGUGUAGCGGUGAAAUGCGUAGAGAUAUGGAGGAACACCAGUGGCGAAGGCGACUUUCUGGUCUGUAACUGACACUGAGGCGCG